rnacentral:rRNA from 1 species
CAGUAGCCGCGGUAAUACAGAGGAUGCAAGCGUUAUCCGGAAUGAUUGGGCGUAAAGCGUCUGUAGGUGGCUUUUCAAGUCCGCCGUCAAAUCCCAGGGCUCAACCCUGGACAGGCGGUGGAAACUACCAAGCUGGAGUACGGUAAGGGCAGAGGGAAUUUUCAGUGGAGCGGUGAAAUGCGUUGAGAUCGAAAAGAACACCAACAGCGAAAGCACUCUGCUGGGACGACACUGACACUAAGAGACGAAAGCUAGGGGAGCAAAUGGGAUUAGAUACCCCCGUAGUCCCUGUCUCUUAUAA